CCUGUACUUGACAUGGUGUUGUGCAGAAAAACUCAGUAAUGUCAGCUGCCUCUUCGCAGUACGAUCAGUACAACUGGAUGUGGCACACAGCCCCUCACUCUCUCUUUAUUUACAGUGACGGCUUGGACGGCCCGUAUCUGUCAGGAGACCCGCUAAAAUCCACCCCCUCGCCAUCCAGAUAGGGAGACAGAAAAAAACCACCGCUGGAUUGGCAGGAGCCACAGGCACCCUCCCGCACGGUCGAGUAAGGACAACCUUAAGGGGGCAUGUUAUGGGAGCAGGAGAGAAGGCAGUGGGAAAACAGCGCGUGGUCACCCUCAGGAACAUAUCCUUCACCUGAACAGUGCCUCACCCUCUUAACCGUACCCAAAAGACAGCAGCAGUAGGACGGAAAGGUGAAGGGAUAGCGAAGGAGGAAAAGGUUUUGCGGAGGACAGGAGGGCAGAGGUGCUUCUCUCGUGACACCCUUUCAAAGG